AUCCAGCUGAUGCGUCACAAAUAGGACGAAACGCUCGUCCUGAAU
rfam:Schistosoma rodhaini strain Burundi genome assembly, scaffold: SROB_scaffold0013610